UACGUAGGGCGCAAGCGUUAUCCGGAAUUAUUGGGCGUAAAGAGCUCGUAGGCGGUCUGUCGCGUCGGCUGUGAAAACCCGAGGCUCAACCUCGCGCCUGCAGUGGGUACGGGCAGACUAGAGUGUGGUAGGGGAGAUUGGAAUUCCUGGUGUAGCGGUGGAAUGCGCAGAUAUCAGGAGGAACACCGAUGGCGAAGGCAGAUCUCUGGGCCAUUACUGACGCUGAGGAGCGAAAGCGUGGGGAGCGAACAGG
rnacentral:rRNA from 1 species